ACAUCCAGAGAACUUUCCAGAGAUGGAUUGGUGGCCUUCGGGAACUCUGAGACAGGUGCUGCAUGGCUGUCGUCAGCUCGUGUUGUGAAAUGUUGGGUUAAGUCCCGCAACGAGCGCAACCCUUAUCCUUUGUUGCCAGCGGUUAGGCCGGGAACUCAAAGGAAACUGCCAGUGAUAAACUGGAGGAAGGUGGGGAUGACGUCAAGUCAUCAUGGCCCUUACGAGUAGGGCUACACACGUGCUACAAUGGCGCAUACAAAGAGAAGCGACCUCGCGAGAGCAAGCGGACCUCAUAAAGUGCGUCGUAGUCCGGAUUGGAGUCUGCAACUCGACUCCAUGAAGUCGGAAUCGCUAGUAAUCGUGGAUCAGAAUGCCACGGUGAAUACGUUCCCGGGCCUUGUACACACCGCCCGUCACACCAUGGGAGUGGGUUGCAAAAGAAGUAGGUAGCUUAACCUUCGGGAGGGCGCUUACCACUUUGUGAUUCAUGACUGGGGUGAAGUCGUAACAAGGUAAGCGUAGUGCU
rnacentral:rRNA from 1 species